rnacentral:rRNA from 1 species
GCUUAGAGUUUGAUCCUGGCUCAGAUUGAACGCUGGCGGCAUGGCUAAAACAUGCAAGUCGAACGAGCUCUUCGGAGCGAGUGGCGAAAGGGCGAGGAAUACGAUCGAAUGUACCCCGAGGUGCGGGAUAGGUCAUGGAAACGUGGCGUAAUACCGCAUGUGCUCUCCGGAGGAAAGGCUUGCCGCCUUGGGAGCAGCGAUCGUCCUAUCAGGUUGUUGGUGAGGUAACGGCUCACCAAGCCGAAGACGGGUAGCGGGUGUGAGAGCAUGACCCGCCGCAUCGGGACUGAGACACUGCCCGGACUCCUACGGGAGGCUGCAGUAACGAAUCUUCCGCAAUGGGCGAAAGCCUGACGGAGCAAUGCCGCGUGUGGGAUGAAGCAUCUCAGAUGUGUAAACCACUGUCAGGGUCUAGGAACAAUGACCAGACCCAGAGGAAGGGCCGGCUAAUUCCGUGCCAGCAGCCGCGGUAAUACGGAAGGCCCGAGCGUUAUUCGGAAUCACUGGGCUUAAAGCGUACGCAGGCGGAUUUGUAGGUAUCUCGUGAAAUCCCACGGCUCAACCGUGGAACUGCGGGGUAAACCACAAGUCUUGAGGCAUGUAGGGGUCAGUGGAACGAUGUGUGGAGCGGUGAAAUGUGUAGAUAUACAUCGGAACGCCAAUGGCGAAGGCAGCUGACUGGGCAUGUCCUGACGCUCAGGUACGAAAGCGUGGGUAACGAACGGGAUUAGAUACCCCGGUAGUCCACGCCGUAAACGAUGCGCACUAGGUCGUGGUACCUCUCAUGGUUUCACGGCUGAAGGUAAACUGGUUAGUGCGCCGCCUGGGGAGUACGGUCGCAAGGCUAAAACUCAAAGGAAUUGACGGGGGCUCACACAAGCGGUGGAGCAUGUUGCU